GUCCCUGUGGCGCAGUGGAUAGCGCAUUGGACUUCAAAUCCAAAGAUCGUGGGUUCGAGUCCCACCUGGGAUG